GGAAGUAAAAGUCGUAACAUGGUCUCCGUAGGUGAACCUGCGGAGGGAUCAUUACAAAGUUCGUGCCCUCGCGGGUAGAUCUCCCACCCUGUGUUAUUGCUACCUUUGUUGCUUUUGCGGGCCACCCUCGGCUACCGUCCCCGGCUGGUACGCGCCCGCCAGAGGACCCCAAACCCUGAACGUCAGUGUCGUUUGAGUACUAUACAAUAGUUAAAACUUUCAACAACGGACCUCUUGGUUCUG
rnacentral:misc_RNA from 1 species